rnacentral:rRNA from 1 species
CCUACGGGUGGCAGCAGUGAGGAAUAUUGGUCAAUGGGCGAGAGCCUGAACCAGCCAAGUCGCGUGAAGGAUGACGGCCCUACGGGUUGUAAACUUCUUUUGUCAGGGAGCAAUUGGGUCCACGCGUGGGCUUAGCGAGAGUACCUGAAGAAAAAGCAUCGGCUAACUCCGUGCCAGCAGCCGCGGUAAUACGGAGGAUGCGAGCGUUAUCCGGAUUUAUUGGGUUUAAAGGGUGCGUAGGCGGAAUAUCAAGUCAGCGGUAAAAAUUCGGGGGUCAACCCCGUCUUGCCGUCGAAACUGAUGUGUUUGAGUGGGAGAGAAGUAUGUGGAAUGCGUGGUGUAGCGGGGAAAUGCAUAGAUAUCAAGCAGAACUUCGAUUGCGAAGGCAGCAUACCGGCGCCCAACUGACGAUGAAGCACGAAAGCGUGGGUAACGAACAGGAUUAGAUACCCUUGUAGUC